rnacentral:antisense_RNA from 2 species
CGUUAUGGCGGAUCGUGUGGUGCGGGCCUCUCGGCUUACAUGUUGAUCGAGAAUUCCGACUUCGAACGCCACACGGUUCGCCACCCAA